rnacentral:lncRNA from 1 species
GAUUUUAUUUAUUUAUUCACAAGAGACACACAGAGAGAGGCAGAGACACAGGCAGAGGGAGAAGCAGGCUCCAUGCAGGGAACCCAACAUGGGACUCGAUCCUGGGUCUCCAGGAUCACGCCCUGGGCUGAAGGCGGCGCUAAACCGCUGAGCCACCAGGGCUGCCCUAAUAUUGGAUUUUAUGAAAUUUUCAUUUACAAAGUGCAUGAUGAUAUUCUAUUAUGCUGUUUUCCAGAAGUUUUGUCUUUCACAUUUAGUUAGGCCAUUCACUUGAUAUUAUUGAUUGUCUCUUUUUCAUGAAUGAUGCCAUUACCUAAAUUACUGGCUUCCAGCUUUAUUCUUCGGACUUAAUUUGCUAUUACUUUUCUAAUUCCUUGAAAUAGAUGUGUUUACUGAUUUUGAGCUUUUUUUAAAGUAAACUCUGUGCCCAAUGUGAGGCUCAAGCUCACAACCCCAAGAUUGAGAGUUGCAUGCUCUCCCGUCACCCAGACCCCAACCUUUCUCCUUUUCCAGUAGAUGCAUUGAAGGCUGUAAAUUUCUUCUGAGCAUAGCUUUAGCUGUUUCCCACAGUUUCAAUAGCAUGGUAUUUUUAUUUUCAUUAAGUGCAAAAUAUUUUCAAGUUUCCACUAUGAUUUCUACUUUUAACCCGUGGACUCUUUAAAAUAUAUAUACUUAAGAGAGAGCAUGCCCGUGAGCAUGGUGGAGAUGGGUGGAGGUGGGGACAAGGAGAGGGAGAAUUUUAAGGUUCCAUCACGCUCAGUGUGGAGCCCAACAGGAGGCUCAAUCACACAACCCUAAAAUCAUGACCUGAGCUGAAAUUGAGUUAGAUGUGUAACUGAGUCAGCCAGGUGCUCCUAGAAUAUAUUGUUAAUAGAAUGUUUUAAAGUGGGCAGUCGGGGGGCAGCCCCGGUGGCUCAGCGAUUUGGCGCCGCCUGUAGCCUGGGGUGUGAUCCUGGAGACCCGGGAUUGAGUCCCACGUUGGGCUCCCUGCAUGAAGCCUGCUUCUGUCUCUGCCCCCCCCCCCUCUCUCUCUCUGUCUCUAUGAAUAAAUAAAAUCUUAAAAAAAAAGAAUGUCUUAAAGUUAUGAUUGUGUUUUGGUUUAUAUGAAAAAUUGCAGAAAAAAACUUAAAACUCUAGAUUAGGAGUUUACAGCCCGGAGCUAGUGUCUGUUUUGUGGCUUUUAUCUCUUUAAAUGUUUUUUUUUUUUUUUUAAUCAGAAGAAAUAUUUGUGACAUGUGACUAUAGUACGAAAUUCGCAUUUCAGUGUUUGUACAUGUUUUACAAAAACAGCCAUGCCUCCUUCAUUUUUCUUGUCCAAGGCUGCUUUUGCAAUAUGGCAAAGCUGUGUUGUGUCAAAGACCAUCUGGCCAACAAAGCCUAAAAUAUUUACCGUCUUGUCCUUCGGAGAAGGAGUUUGUUCACCCCUGCCAUGGAUAGUGUUUUCUUCCAGAAAGGAUUUACUUUUGCUUCUAGCAGGCAGUGAGGGUGCUUGGAGUCUCAAAUUGUAUGAAAACAGAUUGAGUGGGCAUCAGUGACCACAAGGACUAUAUUUCCACUUCUGUCUUAUUGUUACCCUUGGGUUGCCCUUUGGGGUCCCAGUCCACACACGGAUGUUUACCAGGGCUCCCCUUCCUUGAAAGGCCCUGGAUUCUGUUUUUUUGUCACAUCUUCCCCAAGAGGUUUUCACACUGUUUCUAGUUUCUCAGCUGUGCAGCUAUAUUUUCCACAUAUUGAAGAUACCUCAUGGGGAAAACUGACCCUCAAAUACUAGGCUUACUUCUCAGAGUUGUCUUCCUCCAAAUCGUAGCCUUGGCCCCUUAAUUUCACAUGCCUUAUUAGCUUCCCAGUGCCUUCAAGCAGAUUUCUUUUUAAAUAGUUUGAACCCCUUUCCUAGCUCUUUUCAGGGGGAGCAUUGGUUUGCAUUACCUAGUCUGACAAUAUGGAAAUACCUUAUAAACCACAAAUACACUUUGUUUUUGAAGAGAAUUCCUAGAUCUUACAGUGAAACUGCCAAAUGAGUUGUGCUCAUCUUGAACCUGUACAUGUUUGGGCAGCUGUCAAGUGGAGCCACCCAAUUUUCUCUUCCCCACUGUGUCCUUACCAGGGUUGGGGAUGGUGAUUAACGUGAUCCGUUUGUCUUUUCACACCAAAGACAGAAGCCUGAGAGUAAGCCUGGUCUCCUGCCCCUUUUAACCCCACUCCAAGUCCCUUAGUUCUCAAGUGGUCCUGCUGCUACUGCUGUUUCCACUCUUAUCUCCUUGCCCCCAGUCCAUUCUCCACACUGCUGCCAAAGUGCUAAAAUGGGAAUUUGAUCAUGUCAUUUCCCUGCUUAAAAAGUUCAGUGACUCUUUAAGUAGGCUCCACGGCCAACAUGGGGCCUGAACUUACAAACCUGAGGUUGAGUCACAUGCUCUACCCAUGGAGCCACCAGGUACCCCCCUUCAGCAGCUCUUUAUAUAGGUUGUUGUAUGCAUCUCAUGCUUGAAGCUUAUCUAACACAUAUUUUCUCCGUAGGGCCCAUCAUUGCCUUCUUGCAUUUAGGCACCAUAGACAUCACUUCAGCACUGUGCUGGGGGUGGGGGGGGGUUGCCAUUUUAAACCCUGAAACCACCAACAAAAAGUUGAAGGCCUCUUUUUUAGAGUAUGACAGCUGAUACAAGGGGGCAGAUCCUGCCUGGCCUUGCUUGACCUCAGGUAGUAUAUCAGGCAACUUUUUUCACCACUCUGUGCAUACUCAAGAACGAACACAAAGGGGUUAGAAAUAAAAUCUUAAAAGAGGAGCCCAGUUUGCAAAUACGCAAUCUACCAGUGAGGGUCCGCUUCAUCAUGGGUUGAUGAAAAAUUGGUAAUUCAAGAGAAGCAGAAAACUAGAAGGAAUUCAUGGCAUGAUAGAUUUUGUAAAAUUGUCUUUUUAAAGACUUGAAUGUAAAGCAGCCAAAAAUUUUCAUCCAUUACAUUCUGUGCCCCAACAUGCUUGUCCCCUCAGUACUCAAUACCCUUUGUAUGUUCAAGAUUCCACCAAACUAGAGGACUUGCCUUUCCCCAAAUAUCCUCCUGGUUCUGUCUCUGGGUUGUGAGUGAACGUUUUUUUCCCCACUUACACUUGAUUCAGUAAACAUUAAACCCUGCCUGUGUCCUAGGCACCGUUCUGGGCUCCAGGCACAUGGCAGUGACAAAUAAGAACCACUGCCCUCGAGAGCUUCCCUUACUUCACAGCCUUGCACUUUGUAGAUGUUUGUAAUUUUGCCUCCACACAAGCCAUAUCAUGUAUUGUACACAAAGUAAAAGAGAAAGGAAAUAGUUGAGAUUUAAACACAAACAGUUGAAACCAGUUUUAAUGCUCAGUUCCCAUUCUGGGCUAACCUCUCAUUCUCCAUGGUUUUCCUCAUAGACUCAAAAUAUAAAAUAAGAUGGCUAAAAAAGAAGAAACCUCUAGGUGAGGCUUUAAGGGAGAAAAACAUAAAAAAUGAAAAAGGACUUUUUUUUGGGGGGGGGGGUAGGGGGUUGACAUGGUAAGAGGAGGGCUGCACUUAGAGCUUUCCAGGAGAGGGGGCUGGUAAGAGAUUCCUGAGGGCAGAAUGCUUGCUCAGUCCUCAGUUGUUUUUAUGUAAACUUUUUCCAUCUUCCCAGACCUUCAAAUGUGACAGCUUUUUUUUUUUUUUCCCGAAACAAAAAGUUUUAUUUUGAAAAUACUCUUUAAAGGUAAAUUUGGCUUCCAUUUUCCCUAAGGUGCAUCCAA